CAGCCGCCACGGGAAUACGUAGGGUGCAAGCGCUAAUCGGAAUUACUGGGCGUAAAGCGUGCGCAGGCGGUUAUAUAAGACAGAUGUGAAAUCCCCGGGCUCAACCUGGGAACUGCAUUUGUGACUGUAUAGCUAGAGUACGGCAGAGGGGGAUGGAAUUCCGCGUGUAGCAGUGAAAUGCGUAGAUAUGCGGAGGAACACCGAUGGCGAAGGCAAUCCCCUGGGCCUGUACUGACGCUCAUGCACGAAAGCGUGGGGAGCAAACAGGAUUAGAUACCCGAGUAGUCCCUGUCUCUUAUAC
rnacentral:rRNA from 1 species